GAGUUUGAUUCUGGCUCAGGAUGAACGCUGGCGGCGUGCUUAACACAUGCAAGUCGAACGAAGCGAGAAGAAAGAAGUUUUUCGAAAUGGAUUUUUUCUUUGCUUAGUGGCGGACGGGUGCGUAACACGUAGGUAACCUGCCCUGUGCUUGGGAAUAACUCCGGGAAACCGGUGCUAAUGCCGAAUAAUAUCGCCUGUCGGCAUCGAGAGGCGAUCAAAGAAUGUUGGCACAGGAUGGGCCUGCGCCGGAUUAGCUGGUUGGUGAGGUAACGGCUCACCAAGGCGACGAUCCGUAGCCGACCUGAGAGGGUGAUCGGCCACACUGGAACUGAGACACGGUCCAGACUCCUACGGGAGGCAGCAGUGGGGAAUAUUGCACAAUGGGGGAAACCCUGAUGCAGCAACGCCGCGUGAGCGAUGAAGGCUUUCGAGUCGUAAAGCUC
rnacentral:rRNA from 1 species